UGACUGUGUUGAGGUUCCUUGCUCAUGGC
rnacentral:piRNA from 1 species